UCUACAAAGUAACUUGGAAAAUAUUCAGUUCAUGAAUCCUCAAUGAUAUGUUGAUCACAACUUGUGGCAAAAAAUACAAGAACAACUGGAAGAUUCAUAUGAAUUUGAGGAAGAUAUGAGUUUGGACAUGGAUUUUCAAGUGUGGCGUGAUGAUAUCUCUUCUUUUGUUGGACGAAGGGCAUUCGUGAGCUUUGAAGGCAAUGAUGCCCGUAGAUUCAUGAAGUCUCUGUAUAGUGCCUUGGGUUCCAUUGGGAUAGAGGCAUUCCAAGAUGCUGAGAGCAUGAGAAGUGGGCAAGAAGCCCGACUAAAUGCGCUCAAAGCAAUUGAAGAGUCUGAGAUUUGCAUUACUUUAUUCUCACCAAACUAUGCAUCUUCCAAACAGUGUCUUGUAGAACUUCUAGCGAGUCUUGAUGGUAGAAGAACACAGGGCACGUGGGUUGUUCGAGCUUUCUACUAAGUACCACUUUCAGUCGUCCGGGAUGGUGAAGAAGGAAGUAUUAUGAGAGCAAUAGCUACGCUUGAAGCUGGAUUCUCUGAUGACAUGAAAGUAGUACGGACGAGGAGUUGGGCUCUGUCUGAUUUAUGCUACGUUGCUUCUAAUGGAAUAGUGAUAUAUAAGGGAAACUUAGGUGACGAGAUCCGGCACAUUGUUGAUGUCUGUUGCACAUUACUGAGACGCGGCCGGCCUACUGCACAAAGCUGACCACCUUGUUGUAUUCAGAAGAGAAAUGGCUUUGGAUUUAAUUUGAUUUCCAGUCAAUUAGAUGCUGCUGCAAGUUUCUGUUUAGAUAUUAGAUAGAGAAAGUUCAGACCAAUCAAAUUCUAUUUUGAAAUUUCUUUCGCUUGAAAAUAUCAUUUGGCGCAUCGCAUAACAUGGCCAACAGGUAGAGGGUACGCAGGGUGAAUUGCCUGUUGUAAAAUGUCAAUAUUUUAGAAGGUAUUUGAUUUAGCUUACUUUAAGUAACUUUACACUAUUAUAUAAGGUAAAUAUGUAAGAAUGAUAUAUUCUUAUAAAAUGAAAAUAUUAUUAUUUUUU